GACAGCGUGAAGGGACUUUGGGCUUGUCUUUGCCUUGGACCAGUGGUAUUAGAGGGAGGAGUGGGAUGGAUCAUUGCAACUGCAACUUUAACAAAAAAGUUGCAAAAUCUUUACAUGGGUGAUUAAAUUUCUGAACGCACCCAUAGCUAAACAAUCAGCUGGCUAAUGGUUACUUUUAAUCCUGAACCCAUGUUCGCAUAAAUGUUGUAACUCCGUGUGUGGGCUCUACGCUGCUAGCAUACAUACAUAACGUAGAUCGGGCAACGAGAGAUGAACUACGAGCUAGGCAGUCGAAAAUGGUGCAUUUCUCUGUCUGUACGUGGACAGAUUGCUUAUGAGGGCGGAAACACGAGCAAAAGUAUUGUUGCACUUGUGGCAACGAGCAUUGUCAGCAUCGACUCUGGUGAAGUGUAACCACACUUUAACGUGUAGCUCUCUCUACCAUCGUCACUGAUUAAGAGCAGCGUACUGUAACGUGUGAGACAAGUUAGAAUUUGUUUAGGGCAGAAAGUGCAGCAGUGCAGAGUCAACCAGCAAGAGGCCAGUCUACAAAUCAUCAUGGAGUGUUAUGUCUGCUCUGACACUGGUCCUUAUCUCCAGUCCCACGUCUCGUCAGUCCUGCUACCCUGUCCUGGACCACCACUCUACUACUUCCUUGGAUUCCUCUCCAGACCUGAUUUCCCAGCCCCAACUCCCUUCACCUCAGCCUCAGCCUCAGCCUCAGCACCUGGCUCCCUGUAACCCGCCCAAGCUUUCCCUGGCCUGCACCCCAUCUUCCCCCUGUUUUUCAACAAAUACCAUGGUUACCUUAUCCCAGUCUCCUUGUCUGAGUCUGCUCUUGGGUUCACCUGCUUCGCACUUUGUAACAGGUAGAGAACAACGCAUGGAAGAAAACAUAACUGUGGUAAGGGGUUCUAGAAGUGCUGCAGAUACAUUAUAUAAAUAAAUGUUCCUAAUUAUAUAAUUACUCCUGUCUGUACAGAAAUAAAUGAAAUCAUUGAAAACACUACACCAAAGAGCAUAAUUUAGCCACAGAUGAUCAAUAACUUCUUUUUUCAAAUGCUGUUGAUUGUGUUUUGUUUCAUCAUCAGCUCAUUAAAGCCUACAGUUGGGAAUCUGGAAAUUGGGCAGCCUGUGGGAAAUAUCAAACACCUGAUUGUUGAUUUGUGGCUGUCAAUGUGACUGUCAAUGAACAGAAGGCAGCAGUUAAAAGGUCUUUCACAAUAUUUCAAAAUGCAAAAAACGGUCUAUGAGUGAGUGCCACUGGAAAGUUGGUGGACUAUACUUUCCUCAUAUUGUACAAUCUGUGCCUCUAUUUUCCCUUAGCCUAUAUGCUAUUGGUUGCAUUUAAGACAGGGCUGUUCGUUUUAUUAUUUUUUUAUUUAUUGAUCUCAGUAUGUCUGAGUGGCCUAUUUAAAAACACACUUGUAAUGUCUCCAUGUCAUGUGAAAUUAUGUAGAAUUGCAUGAAAUUAUUUUACAAAAUGCCAUUUUUCUCGAACCUGCAAAUACAAUGAUAUGCAAUGCAAGGACUGAGCCCCGAAUGUUAUGAAACUCUGACGCCACUGUUGGUGGAGCUGGGAGUGAGUCAGUCACGUGGUAGAGUAGGAAGCUAGCUAGAUAAUCACCCAGGCAUUUCCUUAACAACUAAUGGGGAUUGCAAAGCAGCGGGAAGUGUUCAGUGUCAUUCCAUGUUAAUGAGUGGUUAUGUUUCCCUUACCACGCCACAGGUGUGCG